GACGAACGCUGGCGGCGUGCUUAACACAUGCAAGUCGAACGAUGAUGCCCAGCUUGCUGGGCGGAUUAGUGGCGAACGGGUGAGUAAUACGUGAGUAACCUGCCCUUGACUCUGGGAUAAGCCUGGGAAACUGGGUCUAAUACUGGAUACUACCGUCCACCGCAUGGUGGGUGGUGGAAAGGGUUUUACUGGUUUUGGAUGGGCUCACGGCCUAUCAGCUUGUUGGUGGGGUAAUGGCUCACCAAGGCGACGACGGGUAGCCGGCCUGAGAGGGUGACCGGCCACACUGGGACUGAGACACGGCCCAGACUCCUACGGGAGGCAGCAGUGGGGAAUAUUGCACAAUGGGCGGAAGCCUGAUGCAGCGACGCCGCGUGAGGGAUGACGGCCUUCGGGUUGUAAACCUCUUUCAGUAGGGAAGAAGCGAGAGUGACGGUACCUGCAGAAGAAGCGCCGGCUAACUACGUGCCAGCAGCCGCGGUAAUACGUAGGGCGCAAGCGUUGUCCGGAAUUAUUGGGCGUAAAGAGCUCGUAGGCGGUUUGUCGCGUCUGCUGUGAAAGCCCGGGGCUCAACCCCGGGUCUGCAGUGGGUACGGGCAGACUAGAGUGCAGUAGGGGAGACUGGAAUUCCUGGUGUAGCGGUGAAAUGCGCAGAUAUCAGGAGGAACACCGAUGGCGAAGGCAGGUCUCUGGGCUGUUACUGACGCUGAGGAGCGAAAGCAUGGGGAGCGAACAGGAUUAGAUACCCUGGUAGUCCAUGCCGUAAACGUUGGGCACUAGGUGUGGGGACAUUCCACGUUUUCCGCGCCGUAGCUAACGCAUUAGUGCCCCGCCUGGGGAGUACGGCCGCAGGCUAAAACUCAAGGAAUUGACGGGGCCCGCA
rnacentral:rRNA from 15 species